AGCGAACGCUGGCGGCAGGCCUAACACAUGCAAGUCGAACGAACUCUUCGGAGUUAGUGGCGGACGGGUGAGUAACACGUGGGAACGUGCCUUUAGGUUCGGAAUAACUCAGGGAAACUUGUGCUAAUACCGAAUGUGCCCUUCGGGGGAAAGAUUUAUCGCCUUUAGAGCGGCCCGCGUCUGAUUAGCUAGUUGGGGAGGUAAAGGCUCACCAAGGCGACGAGCAGUAGCUGGUCUGAGAGGAUGAUCAGCCACAUUGGGACUGAGACACGGCCCAAACUCCUACGGGAGGCAGCAGUGGGGAAUCUUGCGCAGUGGGCGAAAGCCUGACGCAGCCAUGCCGCGUGAAUGAUGAAGGUCUUAGGAUUGUAAAAUUCUUUCACCGGGGACGAUAAUGACGGUACCCGGAGAAGAAGCCCCGGCUAACUUCAUGCCAGCAGCCGCAGUAA
rnacentral:rRNA from 1 species